CUGUUGUACCUGAAGUCGCCCAAGCCAACCGCAAGGAGGCGGGCGCCCACGGUAUGGCCGGUGAUUGGGGUGAAGUCGUAACAAGGUAGCCGUAGGUGAACCUGCAGAAGGAUCA
rnacentral:rRNA from 1 species